rnacentral:tRNA from 1 species
GCCUGGGUGGCUCAGUCGGUGAAGCAUCUGACUUCGGCUCAGGUCAUGAUCUCACGGUCCGUGAGUUCGAGCCCCGCGUCGGGCU